CCCCACUAAGAAGGCCUCCUGGUAGGCCAAACAAGUGCAGAAGAAGAGGGGAGGAUGAAGUGCAGAACCUGCAUAGAAUCAAAAGAAGUGGCUCCAUUCUCAAAUCUAGCAAUUGUUUAGAGUGGGGCCAUAUACCAGAAUAUGCAAGAAGGACAUACCUUCCAGGAAACAAGUGGGGGGAGGGUUCCUUUAGUAAAAAGCCAAGGUAGCCAGUAGGUCAGGGAAGGCCAAGAGAGGAAGAAUACAACGGGACAACUCCCGAAAGGUAAGCAAUGCUACAAUCGCCAAAAAAAACAAAAAAAGGUAAGCAAUGCUACACCAUUUUAAGGAUUUGAUUCCUGGAAAAAAAAUAGUAACACAUGGUUUCCAAUUUUAGGUACA
rnacentral:lncRNA from 1 species